rnacentral:lncRNA from 1 species
GAGACUUGGCGAAGUAGGAGCCCUGUGUGAUCGUGCGUCAGAGUCGGGGCUCAGACCAGUCGUGGCCAGGGCAGUUACCAGGACGGUCUCCGGAGGCCGGGAUUCGCGGAGGGUCAACCAGGAGGAAGAAACGCCAGAAGGAAGAAACCUGAGACAGAUCGCCGGGGACGCAGCACGGGAUCCCAGCCUGAGGCGUGCGGGGACGGUGUGCGGGAAGGGAGUGUAUCCUGGUGUAUGACAGCAUAUAGUAGAGACCAGUGUCAAUUAGGGCCUGUGAACUGAGACAGGGUGACUGGCUAAGUCCACAACCCAUUAGAAACCCAGAAAUAAUCAAAUCAUGAGGGAUCAUGGAAAGGAAGCUGAAUUUGCUGAGUUUUGCCACGUGGGCAUUGCAUGCCUAUGUGAUUAACCACCAAUAAAAACCUGGGACAUCAAAAAAUAAAUAAGCUGCUUUAAUUGCCAAGAAUUCACAUGUGGUUGUAUGCAGCAUUACUGGGAGAUUGAAGUGUAUCUGCAUGUGAUUCUACUGUGAUGGACACUUGUAAAUUUGUGCCUGGAGUCUCCUGGAAUUUGCCCUGAGAAUCUUUUUCCUUUGUUGAUAAGAAUCUGCAUCCUUUUGUUUUAAUAAACGAUAAACAUGAGUAUAA